GCAAUUGUCUAUGGAAAUUGUUAAAAAAUGGAAGAAAUGGCAGGAAGAUAGCCAUUUGCCUGAUAACCGAUUUGUUACUCUAUUUUUAUUAUAGAAUUAUAUUUUACGGUAUAAAAUAGUUAAUCAAUAAUCAAGGAGAAAAUAUUAGAAUGAAGUUAUUAUAAAUGUUUUAAGGACCAUGAGACAAAUAUAACAAUAUGGAAGGUGAUACUGAAGACUAUAAUCUCCAAUGGGAGGAAGAAGUUGAGGUCAAGCAUUGUCCUAAUGACACCAGUGGAGAAGAAGUUAUAUGUUCAAUUGACAAUGUUUUCGAGGUC